GGGUGAGUAACACGUAUCCAACCUGCCGCUUACUCGGGGAUAGCCUUUCGAAAGAAAGAUUAAUACCCGAUGGUAUAAAGAGUUCGCAUGUUCUCUUUAUUAAAGAAUUUCGGUAAGCGAUGGGGAUGCGUUCCAUUAGAUUGUUGGCGGGGUAACGGCCCACCAAGUCUACGAUGGAUAGGGGUUCUGAGAGGAAGGUCCCCCACAUUGGAACUGAGACACGGUCACAAACUCCUACGGGAGGCAGCAGUGAGGAAUAUUGGUCAAUGGACGAGAGUCUGAACCAGCCAAGUAGCGUGAAGGAUGACUGCCCUAUGGGUUGUAAACUUCUUUUAUAAGGGAAUAAAGUGAGGGACGUGUCCCUUUUUGUAUGUACCUUAUGAAUAAGGAUCGGCUAACUCCGUGCCAGCAGCCGCGGUAAUACGGAGGAUCCAAGCGUUAUCCGGAUUUAUUGGGUUUAAAGGGAGCGUAGGUUGACAUAUAAGUCAGCUGUGAAAGUUUACGGCUCAACCGUGAAAUUGCAGUUGAUACUGUAUGUCUUGAGUGUACAAGAGGUGGGCGGAAUUCGUGGUGUAGCGGUGAAAUGCUUAGAUAUCACGAAGAACUCCAAUUGCGAAGGCAGCUCACUGGGGUACAACUGACACUGAGGCUCGAAAGUGUGGGUAUCAAACAGGAUUAGAUACCCUGGUAGUCCACACAGUAAACGAUGAAUACUCGCUGUUUGCGAUAUACAGUAAGCGGCCAAGCGAAA
rnacentral:rRNA from 1 species